GUAUACGGAGGGUGCAAGCGUUACUCGGAAUCACUGGGCGUAAAGGGCGCGUAGGCGGAUUAUCAAGUCUCUUGUGAAAUCCAACGGCUUAACCGUUGAACUGCUUGGGAAACUGGUAAUCUAGAGUGGGGGAGAGGCAGAUGGAAUUGGUGGUGUAGGGGUAAAAUCCGUAGAUAUCACCAAGAAUACCCAUUGCGAAGGCGAUCUGCUGGAACUUAACUGACGCUAAGGCGCGAAAGCGUGGGGAGCAAACAGGAUUAGAUACCCUGGUAGUCCACGCCCUAAACGAUGUAUGCUAGUUGUUGGGGUGCUAGUCAUCUCAGUAAUGCAGCUAACGCAUUAAGCAUACCGCCUGGGGAGUACGGUCGCAAGAUUAAAACUCAAAGGAAUAGACGGGGACCCGCACAAGCGGUGGAGCAUGUGGUUUAAUUCGAAGAUACGCGAAGAACCUUACCUGGGCUUGAUAUCCUAAGAACCUUAUAGAGAUAUGAGGGUGCUAGCUUGCUAGAACUUAGAGACAGGUGCUGCACGGCUGUCGUCAGCUCGUGUCGUGAGAUGUUGGGUUAAGUCCCGCAACGAGCGCAACCCACGUAUUUAGUUGCUAACACUUCGGGUGAGCACUCUAAAUAGACUGCCUUCGUAAGGAGGAGGAAGGUGUGGACGACGUCAAGUCAUCAUGGCCCUUAUGCCCAGGGCGACACACGUGCUACAAUGGCAUAUACAAUGAGACGCAAUACCGCGAGGUGGAGCAAAUCUAUAAAAUAUGUCCCAGUUCGGAUUGUUCUCUGCAACUCGAGAGC
rnacentral:rRNA from 1 species